rnacentral:tRNA from 1 species
GCUGGUUUGGUCCAGUGGUUAGAAGCGUUAGCUUCAAUCCUAGCAGUGAGGGAUCGAAUCCCACCGCCUGCA